rnacentral:rRNA from 1 species
CCUACGGGUGGCAGCAGUGGGGAAUAUUGCGCAAUGGGCGAAAGCCUGACGCAGCGACGCCGCGUGAGGGAUGAAGGUCUUCGGAUCGUAAACCUCUGUCAGCAGGGAAGAACGGUCACUGUGCUAAUCAGCAGUGAAUUGACGGUACCUGCAAAGGAAGCACCGGCUAACUCCGUGCCAGCAGCCGCGGUAAUACGGAGGGUGCGAGCGUUAAUCGGAAUUACUGGGCGUAAAGCGCUCGUAGGCGGUAUGUCAAGUCUAGGGUGAAAUCCCCGGGCUCAACGUGGGAACGUCCUUUGAAACUGGCAGACUGGAGUGUGUGAGAGGAUAGUGGAAUUCCAGGUGUAGGAGUGAAAUCCGUAGAUAUCUGGAGGAACAUCAGUGGCGAAGGCGACUAUCUGGCACAUAACUGACGCUGAGGAGCGAAAGCGUGGGUAGCAAACAGGAUUAGAUACCCUUGUAGUC